AUUGAACGCUGGCGGCAUGCUUUACACAUGCAAGUCGAACGGCAGCGCGGGCUUCGGCCUGGCGGCGAGUGGCGAACGGGUGAGUAAUACAUCGGAACGUGCCCAGUAGUGGGGGAUAGCUCGGCGAAAGCCGGAUUAAUACCGCAUACGACCUGAGGGUGAAAGCGGGGGAUCUUCGGACCUCGCGCUAUUGGAGCGGCCGAUGGCAGAUUAGCUAGUUGAUGGGGUAAAGGCCUACCAAGGCGACGAUCUGUAGCUGGUCUGAGAGGACGACCAGCCACACUGGGACUGAGACACGGCCCAGACUCCUACGGGAGGCAGCAGUGGGGAAUUUUGGACAAUGGGCGAAAGCCUGAUCCAGCAAUGCCGCGUGUGUGAUGAAGGCCUUCGGGUUGUAAAGCACUUUUGGCGGGAACGAAAAGGACUGUGCAAAUACCACGGUUCGAUGACGGUACCCGCAGAAUAAGCACCGGCUAACUACGUG
rnacentral:rRNA from 1 species